UACGGAGGGGGCUAGCGUUGUUCGGGCUUACGGGGCGUAAAGCGCGCGUAGGCGGGCUGUUAAGUCGGGGGUGAAAUCCCGGGGCUCAACCCCGGAACUGCCUCCGAUACUGGCAGCCUAGAGGAAGGCAGAGGCCAGUGGAAUGGCGAGUGUAGAGGUGAAAUUCGUAGAUAUUCGCCGGAACACCAGUGGCGAAGGCGACUGGCUGGGCCUUUUCUGACGCUGAGGUGCGAAAGCGUGGGGAGCAAACAGG
rnacentral:rRNA from 1 species